ACCGAACCCAGCCAGGGCCUUGCGCUUCCUAGCCUCCUGUUCUCCCUGGGGGUCCUAUACUGAGAUGAGGCUGCUUCCCUCUCCUUCCUGCUCUACUGUAACCCAGAGACUCUUUGGUGUCCGCCUUUCGUUCCUGACUGAAAUUACUAGGUCAUGGAGUUUGCCUAUGGUAAGAUUCUGACAGCGAUAAACUUGGAGAUGUGUGUGUGUGUGUGUGUGUGUGUGUGUGUGUGUGUGUGUGUGUUGCUUUCCGGUUCAGGAGGGUGUUGUAAUCCAACAAGGAAGUUCACAGGACAAACUUACUUUCUGUUUCCUUUUCUGCCCAGGCAUCAUGUGACAUUACCAUCAACCAUGACAAGAGUUGGCCUUUUUCCCCAGACGAUAUACUUACUGUUAGCGAUUCGCCACAGGCUGAGGCUAGACACACUGCAGAUAAAGAAAUUAGAAACUCCCCAAACUUUUUUGUUUUGGCCUGGAUGUAAACAAAGUGUUAAGGGGCAGAAGCUGGAGAAGAAGGGACAAGGCCCGAAACCUUGCGUUGAAAGGCAGAUGGCCCCCCAGCACCCCAGGAUGGUGGGGUCAGGUCAGCAGCUGAGACCCGGCAGGAUGCUUACCUUUGACCUCUUGUUGGGUCUGGAUGGCAUGGCCCUCCUCCUCUCCCUCAGCCAACAGCAGCCCUGGCAGGGCUGCUCUCCCAGCUCCCUUGGCAGACUCUUCCUCUUUCUAAGGCUUGAUUCCCCUGACUCCUUGCCAGCUGCUGCUCCCUACAUGGCCGGGACAGCCACAGUGCAUGGGACAGCUACUUUUCCUCAGGUAACAGUGACCAAGUCUGGAGACUCUUUCGGCCAGUUAGGCUCAGCUUGGGUCUCUGUCACGCUUAUGGAGUUCUUCUGGGGUGCUGUCUUAAUUUGCCUUUGGUCACCACAGUGACUCAUGGCAAUGGCAGUUAGCAGUUGCAGAUUCUUACACUCCAGUGGCUUCCCUCAGAUGUUAGAGCUAGGUUCCUGUUCCUGUCUUGGGGCCCUGCCUGUCACCCCACUGUCUUUGUGGGGGCCAAGGCUGUUUUCUCUCCUGGAUAUCCUUGUGUUGUAAUUAUGUACAGAAGGUCAGGUUGGCCUGAGGUGGGUGCUCUGUCCUUUCCCCGUUCCACAGUGCGUCUUCGAUCCAGUUUAUUUAAGAGGAUAUGUUAGGAAGUAUCCUCCGUUUCCUUCCCAUCCAUGUCCAGCUCUCUCCUAACCCACUUGCUCUGUAUGCUCAGGCCUCUAUGCUGAGAGUCAGAAAGCCUCUUUCAUUUUGUUCCCUUCCAGCCAUCAAGCCCUUCUCUGAAUAAGGGUCUUCCCUUGAGUCCAGGGGAUGGAACCCAAUGUUUACAUUCUCUUCUGUCUUGGUCCCACCCAGUGGCAGUUUCGUGGUGCUUUGAGGAACCGGAAAAAGAACCUGUUGUUAUAUCUGGAAAAAACAAACAAACAA
rnacentral:sRNA from 1 species